UACGAAGGGGGCAAGCGUUGUUCGGAUUUACUGGGCGUAAAGCGCACGUAGGCGGAUCGAUCAGUCAGGGGUGAAAUCCCAGGGCUCAACCCUGGAACUGCCUUUGAUACUGUCGAUCUGGAGUAUGGAAGAGGUGAGUGGAAUUCCGAGUGUAGAGGUGAAAUUCGUAGAUAUUCGGAGGAACACCAGUGGCGAAGGCGGCUCACUGGUCCAUUACUGACGCUGAGGUGCGAAAGCGUGGGGAGCAAACAGG
rnacentral:rRNA from 1 species